AACAGCAAAUUUGCAGUAAUCUAUAAGAAAUCUACAACCACAUUAAAGCUUAUCAACAUAAAAUAUAUAUUAAACAGUAUUUGUCCUAGAAGAAUCAAGAAAAAAAUCUGCAGGCAACUAAAGCAUUUAUAUAUGAUAACUGAUUUAAAUCCAUAAUUAUCUGUCUUUUUUGCUUCAAAUUACCUCCCUUUGGUAUAGCUCUCUAACAUAGGAGGAAUAAACGGUAGUUUGCUUACAUUGUUUUCAAUAACAGUGUACAGAAGACUAGAAGAAAAUUACAAACUUGGAGCAGUCUGAGCCUCAGUUUUGGCGUUUUCAUGAGUCUUGAUUACGAAUGAAAUUCGCCACUUUGAAGCCAGACUCGGAAAGAAGCAGAAACAGAAUUGGAUGAGCUGAUAUAGAAUUAGACAGGAAAAACGUAUUAUCAUUAUGAGAAUACUUCAUUACAGUACAGACCAUUGAUGCUGGAAGUGAGUGGAUAGUGUUACCGGAGACUCAGGAAUCCAGAAAAUAGAUCCAUAAAUUGUACAGUGUAUUCAUGAAAGUGGAUCAAAUAAAAAUGUUCAAUCCAAAAGUAACAUUCUUUGUUUGUCUGUUAGCAUUUUUUUAUUGAUGUAAAUCUAACAAGCUAAUUCAGAGAA